AUGACCAAAAAUAUUGCAUAUAUGCAUAUUUGUCAGAUGAUUUCUAGUGCAAACUAUUCAAUAAUCUAUUUAUGUUAUCCAGAACAAAAAUACUUCACACACUUUUGUGUUUUGUCUAAUUGCAGGUGUAUGGGACAUUUGUACAAUCCACAUAUGAAGAUGAGGAAGAAAGAUAUGUUUAUUUGCUGUCCAAAAAGUUCUCUCACGUCACUUUUGGCCCAAGAGAAGAUAGAGUCCAAGUCUCUCACGUUCUGGAUUCAGAUUCGGACUGCACAGACACACCUGACUCAAAACGCACACAAGUUUAUCAUACGGACUCCGAAUUGGGUGAUUCUUUUUUUGUUGGAAACUAGAUUUCGUGCACUUUCCAACCCAAUUGGAAUCACCGUCAAAUUCGUCCGGAGCGUUGAGUUGUGGACGAAACAAUCUGAUGCUGCAGCAGAAUCCGAGUCAAAUUACAAGUCCAAAGGUGUUACAUCACCUCCACUUGGGCCCAUUGGCCUUGUACGACCUAGAUUUAGUUUUAGGCUGCCUUGGGACGUCCUCCCACCUCCUUGA
rnacentral:rRNA from 1 species